ACUUAAAUAGUUUAAUUAAAAUGAGAGAUUGUGGUUCUUUUGAUGUAAAGAUUACUUUAAGUA
rnacentral:tRNA from 1 species